CUCCCUCUCCAAUCGGGAGGGAGGGAAGGAGCCGCCGGCUCUUUCCUGCCUCCCUGCAAACUUCAGCGGGACUCUCGUCUCCGCUCGCCGCCGCGCCCCCCGCCCGGGAGCUGCUCCUCGAACUUCCUCUCGCCGCGCGGCCCGGGAACCCCGGCGGCGGGAAGGACGCCGCCGGGCGCCAGGCGGCCGCCGCUCGGACCCUUCCGAACCCUCCCCGCGGCUCCCCGGGCAGCCGCCGCUCCUCCGUCUCGCCGCCCGCCCGUCGGUCCGUCCCGGCCGCAGCCACCCGGCUGCCCCUCGGCGCCCCGCCGCCGCCCGGACUGUUCUUUGUGUUGGAUGCGGACUCGCGCCCCGCGGCGCCGGGGGCCGGACUGAGCGCCGCCCGGCCCCGCCAUGCCCUUCCACCAGAGGACCGUGGAGCCCGCGCGGCUGCGCCGGCCCGAGGCGGCCGGGGCGGCGGGCGCGCCGCUCUUCCGCUCGCUGGAGCAGGUCAGCUCACAAGCUCUGGUCUGCCUGCUGGCGCAGCUGGCCGACCUGUCGCGCUGCGCCGGGGACAUCUUCGGCGAGCUCGAGGGCCAGGCGGCCGCCCUGGGCCGCCGCACCGCCGCGCUGCACCGCCGCCUCGACGCCCUGCACGACGCCGCUGCGCGCCUCGACCACCGCCGAGUGAAAAUCCCACUAUAUACAAUAGCCAAGACAUGGAAACAACCUAAAUAUCCAUCGACAGAGGAGUGAAUCAAGAAGAGGUGGUACAUAUACACAAUGGAACAUUACUCAGCCAUUAAAAGGAAAGAAAUAACAGCAUUUGCAGCAACAUGGAUGGACCUCGAAAUUAUCAUGCUAAGUGUAGUCAGUCAGACAGUGAGACACCAACAUCAUAUGCUAUCACUUACAUGUGGAAUCUAAAAAAAGGACACAGUGAACUUCUUUGAAGCGCAGAUCCUGACUCACAGACUUUGAAAAACUUAUGGUUUCCAAAUGAGACAGGUUGGGGGGUGGGGACAUGCGCUGGGGGUUUGGGGUGGAAAUGCAAUAAAGUUGGGUUGUGAUGAUCACUUUACAAUUAUAAAUGUAAUAAAGUUUUUUAAAAAAUUCAAAAAAUAAUGCUUUUAGAUGGUAAAUAUUAACUCGCUUUUAUCCCACUGAAGCAGCAAAAAUACACUGAGAAAUUGUCACCCUUGUUUCUCCCCUUUUGUGAGACAUGUAUGUAUGUAUGAAAAGUAAUAUUAAAAUGCUAUCUAGUAAUUG
rnacentral:lncRNA from 1 species